rnacentral:rRNA from 1 species
GUUGAACGCUGGCGGAAUGCCUAACACAUGCAAGUCGAGCGGGGUGUAGCAAUACACCUAGCGGCGGACGGGUGAGGAAUACAUAGGAAUCUACCUUUUUGUGGGGGAUAGCCCGGGGAAACCCGGAUUAAUACCGCAUGAUCUCGCAAGAGCAAAGCGGGGGACCGUAAGGCCUCGCGCUGAAAGAUGAGCCUAUGUCGGAUUAGCUAGUUGGCGGGGUAAAGGCCCACCAAGGCGACGANCCGUAGCUGGUCUGAGAGGACGAUCAGCCACACCGGAACUGAGACACGGUCCGGACUCCUACGGGAGGCAGCAGUGGGGAAUAUUGGACAAUGGGCGCAAGCCUGAUCCAGCAAUUCCGCGUGUGUG